rnacentral:lncRNA from 1 species
CUGAUACUGCUGAAACUGGUGGAGCUGCUAAAGAAUCUGAUUCUGGAACUGCUGCUACUGAAUAGAUAGAAUGCCUACCACUCUCUCUGCCAACACUCCCAUCUUAUCCUCCUCCAAACUAAAAGAUGGCAUGGUACGGCUUGACAAUGAGGGUACACUAGCUGAGGAUCCUGCCUCAGGCUCCGAUAUAAGGUGAACAUCAGGGCUCUAUCUGGGCACAAGUGGUGAAGAGGGACCCUCUCCCUCAGCACGCUCCUCCUCCUUAUCAUCCUCCUCCUCAGCUGCAGCUGCACG